GUAAGUUGAUGAGUUCACACAUAAAUUUUGGAUAUAUAUGUGCCACUCACUUUCUUGCAG
rnacentral:pre_miRNA from 1 species